GGCUCGUUGGUCUAGGGGUUUGAUUCUCGCGUGCGAGAGGUCCCGGGUUCAAAUCCUGGAAGAGCCC